GACGAACGCUGGCGGCGUGCUUAACACAUGCAAGUCGAACGGAAAGGCCCUGCUUUUGUGGGGUGCUCGAGUGGCGAACGGGUGAGUAACACGUGAGUAACCUGCCCUUGACUUUGGGAUAACUUCAGGAAACUGGGGCUAAUACCGGAUAGGAGCUCCUGCUGCAUGGUGGGGGUUGGAAAGUUUCGGCGGUUGGGGAUGGACUCGCGGCUUAUCAGCUUGUUGGUGGGGUAGUGGCUUACCAAGGCUUUGACGGGUAGCCGGCCUGAGAGGGUGACCGGCCACAUUGGGACUGAGAUAGGGCCCAGACUCCUACGGGAGGCAGCGGUGGGAAAUAUUGCACAAUGGGCGGAAGCCUGAUGCAGCGACGCCGCGUGCGGGAUGACGGCCUUCGGGUUGUAAACAGCUUUCGCCUGUGACGAAGCGUGAGUGACGGUAAUGGGUAAAGAAGCACCGGCUAACUACGUG
rnacentral:rRNA from 1 species